GCGCGCGUGGCGGAAUUGGCAGACGCGCCAGACUUAGGAUCUGGUCCCGGAAGGGGUGGAGGUUCGAGUCCUCUCGCGCGCACCA
rnacentral:tRNA from 1 species